UUGUCAGCUGACCUAUCACCUCUUUGUAGGGGAAAGCCCAUAACUUGAAGCCAAGUGUCAAGGAGAAGCUGGUGGGCAGCCCAGUUCGCUCGUCUGAAGAUGUAAGCCAGCGAGUCUAUCUCUACGAGGGACUCUUAGGAAGGGACAAAGGAUCGAUGUGGGACCAGUUAGAGGAUGCGGCUAUGGAGACCUUUUCUAUAAGCAAAGAACGUUCUACGUUAUGGGACCAAAUGCAGUUCUGGGAAGAUGCAUUCUUAGAUGCUGUGAUGUUGGAGAGAGAAGGAAUGGGUAUGGACCAGGGUCCCCAGGAAAUGAUCGACAGGUACCUGUCCCUGGGAGAACAUGACCGGAAGCGCCUGGAGGAUGAUGAAGAUCGUUUGCUGGCCACGCUUUUGCAUAACCUCAUCUCCUACAUGCUACUGAUGAAGGUAAAUAAGAAUGACAUCCGGAAGAAGGUGAGGCGCCUGAUGGGAAAGUCCCAUAUUGGGCUUGUGUACAGCCAGCAAAUCAAUGAAGUGCUUGAUCAGCUGGCAAACCUGAAUGGACGUGAUCUCUGUAUCCGGUCCAGCGGCAGCCGGCACAUGAAGAAGCAGACAUUUGUGGUACAUGCAGGGACAGACACAAAUGGAGAUAUCUUCUUCAUGGAGGUGUGCGAUGACUGCGUGGUGCUGCGCAGUAACCUCGGGACGGUGCAUGAGCGCUGGUGGUAUGAGAAGCUCAUCAACAUGACCUACUGCCCCAAGACCAAGGUGUUGUGCCUGUGGCGCAGGAACGGCUCUGAGACUCAGCUCAACAAGUUCUAUACCAAGAAGUGUCGGGAGCUGUACUACUGCGUGAAGGACAGCAUGGAGCGGGCCGCUGCCCGGCAGCAGAGCAUCAAACCCGGCCCUGAACUAGGUGGCGAGUUCCCCGUGCAGGACAUGAAGACUGGUGAGGGUGGCUUGCUGCAGGUCACCCUAGAAGGGAUCAAUCUCAAGUUCAUGCACAACCAGGAGCGGAAGGUUUUCAUAGAGCUGAAUCACAUUAAAAAGUGCAAUACAGUCCGAGGCGUCUUUGUCCUGGAGGAAUUUGCCAGGCGCCGACGCUGACCGGUGGUGUAGUGGGUUCUCACCCUGGGGCUUUGAGUUCCUGCUGUGUUUGUGCUUCAUUCUUUUGUGCCCCUCAUCGCUGCUAUGAAAACCUUCGUUCUCCAGCAGGUAAAGUGACCUCGGCUCGUGCUGCCUCCCCCCCAGGCCCCUGCCUGGGCCCUGCCAUGGGUGGGACGGGCUCCCUUCAACCAGACCAGCUGCUCACACUGCCCUUUUCUCCGCCCCCCCCCCCACCUCCCCCGUGCUGGCUGACUGGUUCUGAGUUUUCUCCCCUGUGUGUUCCCUUCUCUCUUCUGCCAGAGAGAUAUUUGGGGGAAUCUUCCAACUCAGGAGAAGGACCUGGGCUUCUUGCUCUACCUAUGAUGAGUUUAUUCCCUGUUAACCCUGGGUCCCCCCCGAAUUCUACCUCCCAGGGUCAGAAGAAGGUGUGGCCAACUCUCAUCCUACCUUUUCUGGCCCCCAGGGGGACACCACACCCCUCUGCUCCCUUCUCCAGGGGCCAUCAGGAUGGCUGGGCCCCCGGGGGGGCCUUCCUCCUUCCUCUGGCCAAGCAGAACCCCUGCAUGGCUGGGGCAGGGGUGACUUAGUCUUGCAUUCUGGGCUGUGGACAUGUGUGUACUUUGCCUGAUGCUCCCUGUCACCUCCCUCCCCGGGUGCUAUACUCGCCUGUCUUCUGCUCGGUGUGUCUGCUCCAGAGCCCUCUGACGCUCUCCCUCACACAGGCAGGCCUGGGCCUCUCUUGCCACUCAGGGAAGGACACUUACAAGUCUGCUGGGUUUUAGUAUCAUGCCACUUCUUCAUCCAGCCUAAGGACCCUCUGCGUAGGGGCUGGGAGUACAGGGAACCAUGCUUAACAUGAACAGAGUGUCGGGCUGGUAACAGGGAUGAGUUCUCGGGCAUCUCAGCAAGGUGAGGCACAGGCUAGAGACAACGCUCUUCACCCGACCAACAUGGGGCAAUGCCCCACUGCAGCUCCUCGGGGCCCUGGACAUUAGCAGCGAUCAGGCUGGUGAAAGGCCAGCCCACUCCUGUGCGGAGGCUCUCCCAGAAGCGGCUAGAGUCGUGGCCAUCGAGCAGGGAGCCCCAGCAGACCCCACAGGUCUGGCUGCGGAGUCUGGGGCAGUGUCCUCUCGUCCAGCAGCGGCUGGGCAGGUGCCGUCAGAGUUUCCUGAAAUUAAAGAAGUGGUGAGCCACAAGUACAAGACGCCAAUGGCCCAUGAGAUCUGCUACUCUGUGUUGUGUCUCUUCUCGUACGUG